rnacentral:rRNA from 1 species
UACGUAGGGGGCAAGCGUUGUCCGGAAUCAUUGGGCGUAAGGCGCGUGUAGGCGGUCCGGUAAGUCCGCUGUGAAAGUCGGGGGCUCAACCCUCGGAUGCCGGUGGAUACUGUCGGGCUUGAGUACGGAAGAGGCGAGUGGAAUUCCUGGUGUAGCGGUGAAAUGCGCAGAUAUCAGGAGGAACACCAAUUGCGAAGGCAGCUCGCUGGGACGUUACUGACGCUGAGACGCGAAAGCGUGGGGAGCAAACAGG